rnacentral:rRNA from 1 species
GGGGAAUAUUGCACAAUGGGCGAAAGCCUGAUGCAGCAACGCCGCGUGAGUGAUGAAGGCCUUCGGGUUGUAAAGCUCUUUGAUCAGGGAUGAUAAUGACAGUACCUGAAAAACAAGCCACGGCUAACCACGUGCCAGCAGCCGCGGUAAUACGUAGGUGGCGAGCGUUGUCCGGAAUUAUUGGGCGUAAAGGAUGCGUAGGUGGAUAUCUAAGUGGGAUGUGAAAUCCCCGGGCUCAACCCGGGAACUGCAUUCCAUACUGGAUGUCUAGAGUGCAGGAGAGGAAAGUGGAAUUCCUAGUGUAGCGGUGAAAUGCGUAGAUAUUAGGAGGAACACCAGUGGCGAAGGCGACUUUCUGGACUGUAACUGACACUGAGGCAUGAAAGCGUGGGUAGCAAAC